CCUACGGGAGGCAGCAGUAGGGAAUCUUCCACAAUGGGCGAAAGCCUGAUGGAGCAACGCCGCGUGGGUGAAGAAGGUCUUCGGAUCGUAAAACCCUGUUGUUAGAGAAGAAAGUGCGUGAGAGUAACUGUUCACGUUUCGACGGUAUCUAACCAGAAAGCAACGGCUAACUACGUGCCAGCAGCCGCGGUAAUAGGGAGGUGGCAAGCGUUAUCCGGAUUUAUUGGGCGUAAAGGGAACGCAGGCGGUCUUUUAAGUCUGAUGUGAAAGCCUUCGGCUUAACCGGGGUAGUGCAUUGGAAACUGGGAGACGUGAGUGCAGAAGAGGAGAGUGGAACUCCAUGUGUAGCGGUGAAAUGCGUAGAUAUAUGGAAGAACACCAGUGGCGAAAGCGGCUCUCUGGUCUGUAACUGACGCUGAGGUUCGAAAGCGUGGGUAGCAAACAGGAUUAGAUACCCGAGUAGUC
rnacentral:rRNA from 1 species